GCGAUUUCGCGCCAUUUAUUAUUCUCUGUUUCUCGUGCACGUCAUGGCGCGCUGAAGAAUGACUCUCUGACAUUCUGCUUCUGCUUCACCUGAAGGAUAAAAUGGUGUCUAAAAGUGGCUGCAAAGGUUGGCUUCAGCAAAGGACGAACCUAGAGAAGACGCUGCUGUCUUUGUCCAGUCUAUUGUUGUUAACGUUGCUUUUGUGGAUACUUGUGUCAGUUACCUAUCAAAAAUCCAAAACAGAUGCUUUAGAAGAAAAAUUGAGAGGUUGUUGGACCAAAGAAUGUGUUCAAACAG